GGGUUAGUAGGUUGGUCAUGCCUCUGGUAUGUACUGGUCUCACUGAUUCCUCCUUCUUUAUGAACCGUAAUGCCAUUAAUUUGGUGUUGCGGGGAAUUUGGACUGUUACUUUGAAAAAAUUAGAGUGUUUAAAGCAAGCUAACGCUUGAAUACAUUAGCAUGGAAUAAUGAAAUAGGACGUUCGAUCUUAUUUUGUUGGUUUCUAGGAUUGACGUA
rnacentral:rRNA from 1 species